AAGGAUCAUUAAAACAAUAAUGAAUGUCGGGGAGAGGGCGCUUCGGUGCUUUUUUCCCCGUGUAUUCAACCAAACCCGCUCGUGUAUUUGGAUCAACCAAAAAAAACAAAUCAAAAUUUUAACGAUAAUAAUUAAACAAACUUUCAACAACGGAUCUCUUGGCUCUC
rnacentral:misc_RNA from 1 species